UUAUUUUCUCUCAAGAAGCACACUCUCUCUAGCUCUCUUUCUCUCCAAAAUCAAAACACUCUCCCUCUGUAUCCUCGAUUGCUGCAAUCUUUCUCUCCAUGAGCUAAGCACACUCAUUUCCCCAUUGAAGAAGGGACAAGCUCAAGAGAACACUUGUGUAGAGGUUCAAGAGAAGCUUGUACUAGUCGGAUCUCAAGGAUUUAACACUUUGGUGAUCAAGUAACAAGCAAGGUAAGAGAUUUUGGUAGUUUGCAUAUUUUGUCCCUCACCUAAGCCUUUCUACCCUAACUCUCUCUUAAAAAUAUGCUUGUGGGAAUUUGGGGCUCGGUUUGAGAGUGUAGAGCACAAGGGGGAGUUUGAGAAGCUAAGGAAGACACAUCUCCAAGCUAGAACUAUCAAAGGUAAGUGCAAAAACAAAGUGUCGCAGUGAGCGCCGGAGUUUACUUGCGGAUAUUUAGAUGUGGCUUGACAUGGGGAGGUUUUCGAUGGAACACCAUUUUGAAAUGAAAAAGUUGGGAGCAUGUUAUUUAUUUUAUGAAUUUUUUUUUUUGCUAUAACUUUGUGGAAUAGUAGUUGUAAUUUUGUUUGUUAAGCUAAAAGUGUGUGCACACGACCUUUUCUCUUUUUUUUUUUUUUUUUUAAAUUAUAUGAAUUUUUGAUACAAUGAUUUAAAGUAAAAAUUUAGAUUUCCGCAUGUGUUUGGUCUUGUAUGUUUUGAGGGUCAUUACAAACGGUACUUUUAUAAAGAUAGUUAAUUCAUAUAAGUCCUGUCAUAUAUAAUCACUAUUAUAUACAACACCUUUACCAAGAUGUGUAUCCACAUUAGUAAUCUGAAUCUAGACU